GAUGAACGCUAGCUACAGGCUUAACACAUGCAAGUCGAGGGGAAACGACAUCGAAAGCUUGCUUUUGAUGGGCGUCGACCGGCGCACGGGUGAGUAACGCGUAUCCAACCUGCCCACCACUUGGGGAUAACCUUGCGAAAGUAAGACUAAUACCCAAUGAUAUCCCACGAAGACAUCUGAAUGGGAUUAAAGAUUUAUCGGUGAUGGAUGGGGAUGCGUCUGAUUAGCUUGUUGGCGGGGUAACGGCCCACCAAGGCAACGAUCAGUAGGGGUUCUGAGAGGAAGGUCCCCCACAUUGGAACUGAGACACGGUCCAAACUCCUACGGGAGGCAGCAGUGAGGAAUAUUAGUCAAUGGGCGAGAGCCUGAACCAGCCAAGUAGCGUGCAGGAAGACGGCCCUAUGGGUUGUAAACUGCUUUUAUAAGAGAAUAAAGUGGGUCACGUGUGACUUUUUGCAUGUACCUUAUGAAUAAGGACCGGCUAAUUCCGUG
rnacentral:rRNA from 1 species